UGCCAAUUUAUGGAUAUAUUGUAGUAUAAUAAGCAGUCAGACAACUGUAGCAGAGUAUAAACAGCAGACUGAAUGCCAAAAAGAGAGUGUUUGCAUGCUGUUAACGACUUACUGAAGGUGUUUGUCUGUGCUGUAGGCAUUCAGGUGUGUUUCUUCUGCCAUGAAAGCUCAGCGUGUGUCAGACGCUUUGCGCAGAUGCUGGAAAUCUGCUACCUGGAUCCUCACCUGCCUGCUGGUAUCAGUGUUCCUCAUCGCCAUCACCAAUAUUCUGCCAUCCGGAGAUCACAAGCUGAAACGAAGAUCAGUCCCCAGUAAGUAUCCUUAUAAAAUAAACCUUUUUUGCAUUUAAAAAU
rnacentral:lncRNA from 1 species